rnacentral:rRNA from 1 species
UAGCUAGUUGGUGAGGUAAAGGCUUACCAAGGCGACGAUCUGUAGCGGGUCUGAGAGGAUGAUCCGCCACACUGGAACUGAGACACGGUCCAGACUCCUACGGGAGGCAGCAGUGGGGAAUUUUGGACAAUGGGGGCAACCCUGAUCCAGCCAUGCCGCGUGAGUGAAGAAGGCCUUCGGGUUGUAAAGCUCUUUCGGCCGGGAAGAAAUCGCAUGGGCCAAUACCCUGUGUGGAUGACGGUACCGGAAUAAGAAGCACCGGCUAACUACGUGCCAGCAGCCGCGGUAAUACGUAGGGUGCGAGCGUUAAUCGGAAUUACUGGGCGUAAAGCGUGCGCAGGCGGUUUUGUAAGACAGGCGUGAAAUCCCCGGGCUUAACCUGGGAACUGCGUUUGUGACUGCAAGGCUAGAGUACGGCAGAGGGGGGUGGAAUUCCACGUGUAGCAGUGAAAUGCGUAGAGAUGUGGAGGAACACCAAUGGCGAAGGCAGCCCCCUGGGUCGAUACUGACGCUCAUGCACGAAAGCGUGGGUAGCAAACAGGAUUAGAUACCCUGGUAGUCCACGCCCUAAACUAUGUCAACUAGGUGUUGGGUGGGUAAAACCAUUUAGUACCGUAGCUAACGCGUGAAGUUGACCGCCUGGGGAGUACGGCCGCAAGGUUAAAACUCAAAGGAAUUGACGGGGACCCGCACAAGCGGUGGAUGAUGUGGAUUAAUUCGAUGCAACGCGAAAAACCUUACCUACCCUUGACAUGCCAGGAACUUGCCAGAGAUGGCUUGGUGCCCGAAAGGGAGCCUGGACACAGGUGCUGCAUGGCUGUCGUCAGCUCGUGUCGUGAGACGUUGGGUUAAGUCCCGCAACGAGCGCAACCCUUGUCGUUAAUUGCCAUCAUUUAGUUGGGCACUUUAACGAGACUGCCGGUGACAAACCGGAGGAAGGUGGGGAUGACGUCAAGUCCUCAUGGCCCUUAUGGGUAGGGCUUCACACGUCAUACAAUGGUCGGUACAAAGGGUUGCCAAGCCGCGAGGCGGAGCCAAUCCCAGAAAGCCGAUCGUAGUCCGGAUUGCAGGCUGCAACUCGCCUGCAUGAAGUCGGAAUCGCUAGUAAUCGUGGAUCAGCAUGUCACGGUGAAUACGUUCCCGGGUCUUGUACACACCGCCCGUCACACCAUGGGAGCGGGUUCCGCCAGAAGUAGGUAGCCUAACCGCAAGGGGGGCGCUUACCACGGCGGGGUUCGUGACUGGGGUGAAGUCGUAACAAGGUAGCCGUAGGGGAACCUGCGGCUG